UAAAUGUGGUUAACGCAGAUAAUUGUGCAGAAAGAGGUCUCAGGUCUGUUCUGAAGCCAGAUCUGCACACUGACAGUGCUCAGUGACACCCCAGAAGAUGAGCAGGAACUUGAAUGUAAAGAUACUGAUUUUGUUGAAUCUGUUUGAAAAAGAUAUUCCAGAAGUAAAGAAAUACCCUUGAACAAGACAUUGAUGCUCAGAGAAGAAGCUGAGAGUAUCUCUGUGAUAAAGCAGUCCCUCUGUGAGUGCCUGAACCAGCCUCAAGCCUGGACACAGAGCACACAAGUAAAAACAAUACUGUCCUCUGAAGUCUGCUCUGAAGUUGACAUCUCACUGAAUGACUUGUUCAGAAUAUACAAAAUGCUUUGGCUCUCUAAGAAUAGCAUCCAGUCUGUCCUAUAGUAGGUCUUUCAGCAGGUUUUUGAUUCACAAGAUGAUAGUGCAGUAAUUGGAAAGCUCAAAGGAGCAGUGGAAGCCCUCCAUGCGCUGCCCUCAGUUGAGAGGGGAAUGCAAAGAUGACUACGAGGCAUGAAAGGAAGUUUGCCUACAGAAGAUCCUUCUCCCAGUGUAAAUACAUGCUUGAUAGUGCAUCAAAGAUGAGAUCUUUGUAAUUCCUACAGUAUAUUUAAUGUAUAAUUUAUAUGAAAAGGACGCUUGAUUUGUAGUUGUAAAGUUUUGUAUACUUUUCAGUCUGUUUGUUUUUAUAUUCCCCCCCUAAGGCUAAGAAUAUCUCCACAAUGGACAACGUCUUGUAAAUAAUUAAUACCUACAUGAUUGAACGAUGUGCUUUAUUUGCAUUUUUAAGAUUUUUUCCUACAUAAAACAGUAAUAAAAAUGCAAGUCAAAAUUUUAAUUUUUAAUAAAAAAACCAUAAGCCUUAGAAAACUGAUUAAAAAUACUUUUAUGUUAUCCCUAAUCACCCCACUAAAUGGAAUGCCUGUGAUUAGCCUCAUUAAGAAUUUUAUACUGUGAAGAUUUUAUUAAAAGCAAUAUAUGAAAAUUACUUGGAUUAAUGUGUUAAUCUGCCUCUUUAAAAUGCUAAUAUCCAUUUUAUGCACAUUAAAUCUCAGUAUGUGUUUUCUUUGAUGCAUGCAGUUCCUAUCAAUUAAAUAUAAAAAAUUAGGCUAGUUGCAGGACUUAUUAAAUUACUGCAACCUUUUUUUAAAUAACUUUUACCCUUCUACUAACAUUAUAAUCAGCUGUUUAUGGUUACCAUAAUUUGAAGUAGGGGGAGGGCAGGCACAAUCAUUUUCUGUACAGUACUUGAUUUACUUGCAGCCAGCAUCUGUCAAAGCACAAAAAGAAGCCAUAGAGUAUCAGAUUUUGCUUCACCUACUUUGGGCUUUAGGGAUGGGCAACUGUUUUCAUUUGG